rnacentral:rRNA from 1 species
CACACCGUAAACGUUGGGCGCUAGGUGUGGGAUCCAUUCCACGGGUUCCGUGCCGUAGCUAACGCAUUAAGCGCCCCGCCUGGGGAGUACGGCCGCAAGGCUAAAACUCAAAGGAAUUGACGGGGGCCCGCACAAGCGGCGGAGCAUGCGGAUUAAUUCGAUGCAACGCGAAGAACCUUACCUGGGUUUGACAUAUAGGGAAAUCCUCCAGAGAUGGGGGGUCCGUAAGGGUCCUAUACAGGUGG